UGUCAAGAAAAGUCUCUAUCGAGGUUAAAGGUACCCGUACCGCAAACCGACACAGGUGGGUGAGGAGAGUAUCCUAAGGUCAGCGAGAGAACUGUUGUUAAGGAACUCGGCAAAAUGACCCCGUAACGUAGGGAUAAGGGGUGCCACCAUCAGGUGGCCGCAGAGAAUAGGCCCAAGCGACUGUUUACCAAAAACAUAGGUUUCUGC
rnacentral:rRNA from 1 species